AGUGAACGCUGGCGGUAGGCCUAACACAUGCAAGUCGAACGGCCGCACAGUAAGAGCUUGCUCUUACGGGUGGCGAGUGGCGGACGGGUGAGGAAUACAUCGGAAUCUACUUUUUCGUGGGGGAUAACGUAGGGACACUUACGCUAAUACCGCAUACGUCCUACGGGUGAAAGCAGGGGAUCUUCGGACCUUGCGCGAUUGAAUGAGCCGAUGUCGGAUUAGCUAGUUGGCGGGGUAAAGGCCCACCAAGGCGACGAUCCGUAGCUGGUCUGAGAGGAUGAUCAGCCACACUGGAACUGAGACACGGUCCAGACUCCUACGGGAGGCAGCAGUGGGGAAUAUUGGACAAUGGGCGCAAGCCUGAUCCAGCCAUACCGCGUGAGUGAAGAAGGCCUUCGGGUUGUAAAGCCCUUUUGUUGGGAAAGAAAAGCAGCAGGUUAAUACCCCGCUGUUCUGACGGUACCCAAAGAAUAAGCACCGGCUAACUUCGUG
rnacentral:rRNA from 1 species